CCUACGGGUGGCAGCAGUGGGGAAUAUUGCACAAUGGGGGAAACCCUGAUGCAGCGACGCCGCGUGAGUGAAGAAGUAUUUCGGUAUGUAAAGCUCUAUCAGCAGGGAAGAAAAAAGACGGUACCUGCCUAAGAAGCCCCGGCUACCUACGUGCCAGCAGCCGCGGUAAUACGGAGGGGGCAAGCGUUAUCCGGAUUUACUGGGUGUAAGGGGAGCGUAGCCGGCGUGGCAAGUCUGAAGUGAAAGGCAAGGGCUUAACCCCUGAACUGCUUUGGAAACUGCCAUGCUAGAGUGCUGGAGAGGGAGGUGGAAUUCCUAGUGUAGCGGUGAAAUGCGUAGAGAUUAAGAGGAACACCAGUGGCGAAGGCGGCUUACUGGACAGUAACUGACGCUGAGGCGCGAAAGCGUGGGGAGCAAACAGGAUUAGAUACCCGUGUAGUC
rnacentral:rRNA from 1 species